UACAGAGGUCUCAAGCGUUGUUCGGAUUCAUUGGGCGUAAAGGGUGCGUAGGCGGCGCGGUAAGUCGGGGUGUGAAAUCUCGGAGCUUAACUCCGAAACUGCAUUCGAUACUGCCGUGCUUGAGGACUGGAGAGGAGACUGGAAUUUACGGUGUAGCGGUGAAAUGCGUAGAUAUCGUAAGGAAGACCAGUGGCGAAGGCGGGUCUCUGGGCAGUAACUGACGGCUGAGGAGCGAAAGCGUGGGGAGCGAACAGG
rnacentral:rRNA from 1 species